rnacentral:rRNA from 1 species
UACGUAGGGUCCGAGCGUUGUCCGGAAUUAUUGGGCGUAAAGAGCUCGUAGGCGGUUUGUCGCGUCUGCUGUGAAAUCCCGAGGCUCAACCUCGGGCCUGCAGUGGGUACGGGCAGACUUGAGUGGUGUAGGGGAGACUGGAAUUCCUGGUGUAGCGGUGGAAUGCGCAGAUAUCAGGAGGAACACCGAUGGCGAAGGCAGGUCUCUGGGCACUUACUGACGCUGAGACGCGAAAGCGUGGGGAGCGAACCGG